GGCUCAGGAUGAACGCUAGCGGCAGGCUUAACACAUGCAAGUCGAGGGGUAUAGUUCUUCGGAACUAGAGACCGGCGCACGGGUGCGUAACGCGUAUGCAAUCUACCUUUUACAGAGGGAUAGCCCAGAGAAAUUUGGAUUAAUACCUCAUAGUAUGUGAGAAUCGCAUGGUUUUCACAUUAAAGUUCCAACGGUAAAAGAUGAGCAUGCGUCCCAUUAGCUAGAUGGUAAGGUAACGGCUUACCAUGGCGACGAUGGGUAGGGGUCCUGAGAGGGAGAUCCCCCACACUGGUACUGAGACACGGACCAGACUCCUACGGGAGGCAGCAGUGAGGAAUAUUGGACAAUGGGCGCAAGCCUGAUCCAGCCAUGCCGCGUGCAGGAUGACGGUCCUAUGGAUUGUAAACUGCUUUUGUACAGGAAGAAACACUCCCUCGUGAGGGAGCUUGACGGUACUGUAAGAAUAAGGAUCGGCUAACUCCGUG
rnacentral:rRNA from 1 species